rnacentral:lncRNA from 15 species
GAUGGAUAUUGUUGUACCGUGUUUUUAUAUGACCAUUACCUUUAGCUAAUUAUCUUCGCCAGUUAUCCAUUAUUCGAUUACCUUAACCCUGACCCAACCACAUCUGUACAGCAUACCCCUAACCCGAAGCCUUUUGCCACUGGGCAGGUGGAUUUUAACAGAGGUUUCAAAGUUUUCUCUGGGGCAGCAGCGGCCUGCCAUGAUGAUGAUGGCGAUGACGAUGACAACAAAGAUUUUUUACAGCUGCUCCGGGGAUUUGAACUGCUGAACUUGUGGGCACAACCCUGCUUAUCCAACCUUGACGGUGGUAAACUGCAAGUAUGUACAGACUGAACUGGUCAAAAAAUACUUUUCAAAACUUGACUCAAAAUGUGAAGAACUGUUUUUUUUUCUAGUCCUCUAACAAUAUCUACCAUACACAAACAGCGCCUUAACAAAACAGACAAGAA